AAAUAGANNNCCCAACANUAGUUGAUUACANUGAACAAGUUACUGUAGGGAUAACAGCGUAAUAUAUAUCUAAAGUUCUUAUUUUGAUAUAAGUUUGCGACCUCGAUGUUGAAUUNAUAUUACUUUCAAGCGCAAGAGCCUGAAAAGUGGGUCUGUUCGACCCCUAAAUAUAUACAUGAUUUGAGUUCAAAUCGGUGUAAACCAGAUUGGUUUCUAUCUAUUNUUAUUUGUGUCUUAGUACGAAAGGACCUGAAACAAUAUUAUAUAAUNAUUUAUAUGGCAGAAAAAUGCUUUAGAUUUAGGAUCUAAUUAUAAUAGAUUAUUAUACUCUAUUUAACUUGCCUAAUCUCUGUUAUUAGAAUCCUUAUCGCAGUAGCUUUUUAUACCCUCCUAGAGCGAAAAAUUCUAAGCUACAUCCAAA
rnacentral:rRNA from 1 species